CACACAUUAUCUUCCCUGGUUUGUCUUACACAUAGAUAUGUUUUUACUCCCUUAUGCACAAAUCCAUCCUCUUUACACUCUCAGUUCUGCUCGUGGGAAAUGCUAUAGACCCCCCUGCUUGCACCCAUGGGCUAGUGAAGUUUCACAUAAUUAGGUCCGAAUACCCUCGGGUAGAAUGCAGUAUUUCACCAGAUUCACUGAGAGAUUUUGUGCAAGACCAAUUUAGGAGAGAAAAAAAAAUUCAGACUGAUUUAUUGUAUUUUGUAGGGCUGACCUGGAGACCUGUAAAUUGUUAAAUCUCCUGCAGCCAGCUGAAGCAGCUAUUGGCAGAGGCACCUCUGGACACUCUUCUGAGGUGCAUAUUACAAUCACUCAUCAAAUGUCCAUUUCAAAUGCUUUGUCUGAAUUAGUUACUGUUUCUGAGAACCUCUGCUUGCAAAGUUAUGUAUAAACAAACCAAAAAUCAAUCUUCUCUCAGUCCUAGCAGACACUUUCUAUAACUAACCUUGACAUUUGUAUCCCAACCCUUUAACAAACAGAAUCUGCCCAUUUCUGCUAGGUUUAAAAACUAAUCCUGAUAGACUUAGUCCGGGGCAUCAAUAAUUGUUUAAAUCUCAGUCUUUACUUCCUUCUCAUCCUUUCCUAUAACUCACUUUAAAAUUGUGCAACAUAAUGAGUCAUGAUAGUCAAGUGAGGGGGACUACAGACAAACAAUGUAAUAAAUAAAUGCCGUGUUUCAAGAAGAGGAAAUUUGGAAAGACACUGCAAUGUCGCUUUCUGUUGUUUAUUGUUAACAGAUUGACUAGAGCAUAUUAUGAUGCGAAGGAGAUGCGAUGCGAAGGAAAUAUUGCUCGUUGUCUCCUCCCCUCUUCCUCUCUAUCCAGUCGUCCUAGCCAACCUGGAAUUGGUGGGAUAAUUUGGUAACCAGUGUUACUUCUCCAUCCCCUUUUAUUUGUGCCUGGCAACACAUACUUUCAAAGCUACUACCUUCAUAUUUCACAGUGUCCCCUUUUCCGACCCCCACCCCCAGCAGUCAGCGAUUGCUAGUCACCGAAUUAAGCUACCAAAUGGACUGUGCAUUAUGCGUGUCCGGGGCUAGGUACAUUAACACACCCAGCCUUGCCAUCAAGGAAAGGAUCACACUCAAAUCCUGAAGUAAUAAAGUAAGUGCUCCAACAAUCAUCGUCAGCAGACAACCACUGACCCACCUUCUGCCUGCGCUAAGGAGUCUGGAAGAGGGAGAAGAAAAUGUCAGAUUGGGUGACCAGUAAUAGAGUUUUCUUUUCCUGCUGUAUUCAGUCCUGACUGAACAUUAGAGCUGACUUUUACCUAGUAAGUAGUCACAUAACAUUACAUUUAACAGUACUCUGUAGUACUCUGAUUACAACAGCUCAACUGAUGAUUUAACUUGUACAGUUUUAGGAGAUAUACUCUUGUAGGAAUUACAUAACUGCAGGAAAUUUUGAGAGAAAAGGGUGUCAUGAACAUGGAAAAGAGCAGCCUUGCCAGAUUUACCUAUAUGGUCUCAAAAGACUGUGAUGGUGUAUAUGGCAGAAAAAGGUUCACUUCGCUGUGUUGCUUUUUCUGUUGCCACUGAUUCAAAUACUGAAGCAGUGGCAUUACUUCAAUCCCUGCAACGUGGUAUUAGCUACUUCAAAGCUAUACUCUUUUUAUUGGGCUGAAUGUGCACUGAAGUAAAAGUUUCUGACACACUAUAAAAACAAAAACUAUGCUAACUUUUGUGUACUAAACACAAUGAAACUCAUCUCUAACUUCAGAAGACAGUGUAGACAUUCGGUCAAAGUUAAAAAUUGAAAGUUCCUUUAUAAUCACUGGAAACAGAGAAUAUAAUUUAAAUAUUUGCUUUAAGAUGGAUUACAUCUUUGACUCCAUUGAUCAUGAACUUAUUUUUAUAGCCUCUAAAGGAAGCUUAAGGUGAGUAGUUCAGAUAUUGAUCUCUAGUUGAAUAUUUCUCCAUUAAUCAAAUAGCCCAUUACACUUAAAAUAUUGUAUUGACAAAACAGAAACACACCUUAUAUACAAAGUUAAGAAUUUAUUUUUAGUGUAAUGGAAGUCUUAAAAGCUUUAAAGGCUUUAAACAAAUAAGUAAGUACAAUACAAUUAAAAUUGUUGUAUGCACAAUUUCUAGUACCUAUUUCAUUUUUCUGGUGUUAUGCACAUCCAUCCAGAACUGCGGAGGACAAGAGGAAAACUCAAAGGAUGUACAAGAAGUGGAGAAAAGUUUACAAAGAAUACAAUGAGGACUGUGUUUAAGUGAUUGGAUUUUCACACCGGACCUUCACUCAUAUGGACAGUCAAAAGCACCCAGAAAUGACAAGUUGCAAAAUGGUUUUAAGUAGUGUUGUUAAUGCAUGUUAAAGUUAAAUGUACCCCAGUUAUAAAUUCAUUAUUUUUUUCCAAAUGUGUUUUCCCCUCACAAAUCCCUAAUCCCUGAUUGGUUGUAAAAUCCUUCAUCCUGAUAGGUCGAGAUUUGCCACAGUGUGGGCGGUCUCGACACACCCCUGAGUGUUGUUAUUGGUCAAGAGUUAAUGUAUGCGUGUUGUUAAUCCCUCAUUGGUUCUACCCUGUUGUCAAUCCUAAACUCCUCCCAGUUUCCAGACCCUUCCAUCCCCGAACCUAUAAAAACCCUGUUCACCCUCAGUUCUUAGUCAGUGUACCUGUGCUCCUGUAGCCCUCGUCUAAUAAAUCAUCUACAGCAGAGCACGAACCCCUGUGUGCUGCGUGUCCUUUCCAUCCACCCAGACUGCGGCACAGAACCCUUUGAGUACUGAGGUGAGUGGUUUCAGUCUGGCUGGAGGAAGAAGGGAGAUUUAAAAGGAGCUGAGAGUGUCCCAGACUCUUCACCAGA